AAUCAAAUAAUGCAUCACUAGAGGGAGCUCACAGUUUUAAAAAGGAUGAAAACUUCAGAAGACUGGGGAAAUCGGACAAAGAUGGUGGAGAUUCUUAUUGUAAUGGGUUCUUCAACGUUUUAUUGCCAAGCGAACCCCCUCAGGGAACCCCUCUCAGGCAAAACAGAACCCCCCGGGACCGCCAUCAUACGUUAGUACCUCCGUGGACCGCCGGUUGAAUACCCCUGCACUUUUGACCAAUCACAUCAGAUCUUUUCACAAAAUAUCAGGAGAAUUGGACUGCCUAUUUUAACGCAGGCUAUAGGCUCCACCUUUCAAGUGGUUCUCUGUCCUCACUCGCAGGCUGGAUCGCUAGUGGGAUUACCAAUUACCGUUCUCCUGGCAGCAGGAUAUUAUGCUGGUACAUCGCGAUUCGGAUUUGUUUUCUUCAAAAUAAGAG